UUUCUGUUUUUGCUUAUUUGGUGGGUUCAGACUUCAGAGGAAGAUUCAGGAUAAAUGCUUUACUGGACACUUAACUAAGGUUUUGAGGGCUAUUCCUCUUGUGAGUCCUGCACUAGUUUGUAAAGAAGUUCCAGCUGUUUUUAGCUAUUCUUUGCAAAAGCCAAUGGCUAUUGUACAAUAUUAGAACCAACCCAAGGUCAACGGGAUUAUACGGUAUUUAUAGUUUCCAUUGCGCUUUU
rnacentral:misc_RNA from 1 species